ensembl:lncRNA
CUGGCAUUGCGAACAAGGGCUGAAAGGCAAUCGGCUCUCGCAGCCGUGAUUCAUCGCGAGUGCGAUUGUCUGGAUACAGAGCGGUGUAAUAACUAUUGUGAGCACCAAUUAUGCGAUAUUGAUGUCUGUCACUAUUUUCCGACAAUAUGUUUCAACAAUAUUCUGUUUUCUGAUAUGAUUCAACAUCUGAUUUGAUUACACAUCAGUGGAUGAAUGAAUACAUAUGGGCUAUCUUUUUAAUCGGCGGAUGUUUAAAAUAUGUAUGAUGUAGACAAAAAUAAUGUCGAAUUGAAUUACCAAACAAUUAAGUAAACCCUCAUGUUAUGUCUUAAACAUUUCCAGCGUACUAAUUAGUGGACCUACUGCAAACUGAACACAAAUGUGGCCCACAGCAAUGUGAAAAUUCCUUGAAAAUAUUGGCAUCUGUACAUAUCACGCACAUUUCGCCAUUACGCGCAUUGUCUUUAAGAUCGAUAUUGCGUACUGUAUACUGAAUUCCCUCCAAUGAUUUAUAUAUAAAUGAUUUAUCAAAAGGAAUACUCAACACAUCACUCAGUAAAUCAUCCUUGGGCAUUAUUGCGCUUGAGUCGUGAGCUUCUUUACGCAUUUUGUUAUGCUCUCUGGCUCCACACGGAACCCUGGCGUCCUCCCGUUGCAUUUCCUCAGUGACGUAGUGCCGUAGUGACGUAGACGUCCACGUACAAGCCCAAUGUAGGUGAUGUUUUUCAAUGAAUGAGUCCCCCCUCCCUCACCCAUUACUACUACGGGCAUGUCUAUAAAAAGCCAACGAUGGGAGAGCCCGCUAAAUUUCACUAGUGUAUAUGAUACGAAGGGUGUCAGAGGAUAAAACAGAAGGGACAAUUCUGAUAGCAGUAGCCUAGAUAGUAGACGAUUAGUAGGCUACUUGGUUAGCCUCUUUCUCAUAAAUAUUUCUAGCAUGAUGUAGGAGUCAGGCUUAACUUCAAUAUUUACUGACGAGUCUUGCGACUGGUGACAAAUAAUGACAAGAGGUGUUGAACUGGACAUUGCUUUAAAUCAGGUAAAUGCACUGAUGAGAGAGAUUGCUAUGAGAGCACUACUUACAUCUUUAAGGACAGUGCAUCAACACCUUGGCUCUAGACUGCUUACUGGUAUGACUCGGUGAAAGUACAGUAACAGUCUACAGUCAUGGCUACUGAUGUCUGUCAAGCCUCUACAAGCCCAGAACGCAGCGUGGGAAGGCCUGCGGAGCAGUUGUGUCCACGUGCGCUCGCUCGCAUCUCCGGUGCUUUGAGGGUCAGAUAAAAGAAGCAAACAACUGAGAAGGAACAGCGAUGACUCUCCAGGAAACCACUGCAUUGGCGUACAUGCAAGCUCAACGACGGCUCAGCCAAUCAGAUCGCCUCUUCCACAGUUUCCACGGCGAACCCCCAUUUUUUCCCCCUGCUGCUGUCGCCA